CUCAGAGUAACGGGUAUUAGAUCCAAUAUCCCGGACGAGCCCCCAUUUGUUACGCCCUCCUCUAAAGAGAGGAUACCGUAACUCGCCGUCACACGUGAGCUGGCCAAAA
rnacentral:miRNA from 1 species